UCAAAAAUAAUAUUUCUAUUUGAAAAUGAAAGUAAUUUUGAUUACUUAUAUUCUACCUGAUAAACCUCCAGAGGGAUUCUCUGACAAUGGAUGUGCUUUCCUCGUAACUGAUUCCAGGCACAAUUUUCAAAUUCUCUUCUGUAACAAACACAACUCUUAGGAGCACUUCUACACUAUGACAUCUUCCUUAAGAUGAAAAUAUAGCCAAAGAAAGGAAAAUGUGCCUUGCAGACUACAGCCUACGUGAUUCCAUAGAAGAUAUUUGAAAGAUUUUUAUUUGCUUCUGGGUGGUUUUAUAACCUAAUCAGAGUCCUGACACAGCUUGGCCCUGAUUGGCCAAAGAGUGAAAACAACUCACAGCAGAAUCCAAUGAAACAAUCACCUGUGGGUAAACAAUCUCCAAACACAUCCCAAAGGAACAAAACACAGGAGAAGCAAAUGAGCCCAGCCUUGAGGGGUGUGCCCACUCCAGGGAAGAAUCUCCACACACAUGCCAAGAAAGAGCUGAAGAUCCCUCCUCUUAACAUUGGGACUGGGUUUUUGUACUAUGAAGUGCUGGACUGUCAGUCAGAUGCCCCCAGGCUGUGCCAGCUCAGCAGCUUUGGAUCAGUUGUCAGCACUAUCAUUUGUUGGUUCCUCUGUCAGGAACUCAGGAACAUUAUUCUUCCCAGGUGUUUAACUUCAGAAUAGAUAGUCAGGCUGGUCUCAGCAUCCUUCAACCCCAAAAAUUAUUCCCAUCUCCAAACAGGGGUUUAUCUGAGCUGUGUUGGCCCCACUUGGGCAGAGCAUCCUGCUCCAUCCUGCAUCUCCAUCCUACAAGUGCCAGGGAGGAACAGGUGAAGGCCAGGACCAAGCCACCCAUGCUGUUUCCAACAGGAUGUGUUUACAGCUCCAAUGUGUUGUUCCAUCUUUGCCAGGACAUGAAAAGCAGCAGUAACAGCCCAUAGCAGGGAUCUGCUGGUGCCUGUUCAACAUCACACUGUCCCAUUGGCACUCAGAAUCUCCUACUUGCAGCUGUGAAUCCUGGUUUUGGCUUAACUGAAAGAACACCCACAGAAGUGUGAACAUACCUCAGAAAGCUGAUUAGAGGAGCUGUCCACUCCUCAAACCAGACUCUCCAAAUCCCAACAACUCCUGCCUCAUCAAGGAUUGCCACAGAUCCCAGAGACUGCUAUGGAAGUUCUCCUACAUUAAACCAGUUCCUGGUGUUGCAGCCCUGUUGGAUGUCCUCCCCUGCCACAGAAGAACUAAACAUUAAAAAGUAAUCAAGCAUCUUCCAGGCAUAUGUGCCAGGCCAGUUUACAGCUUCCACUGCACUCACUCAGUUUUAUGAAGGGAGUCUUUGAAAUGACUCUCAGAUCCUUUUACAGUGGUAAUCACAAGACUAUUAAGUGAUUAAUGUGAUCAUUUGGACAGAAAGUAAAAGUUUGCCAGGCAAAGUGACAUAGAAUGCUUGUUGUAAGAGAGAAUGCAAUUUUACAAAGGUGAACAUUUAUGUGCUGGCAGUGUUUAGAAAUACACAGCUUUAAACUCAGACAAAAAUAAGGUCAAAAUCAUUUUGUAAAAUGAUUGAUUCUAGCCUGGAUGAGUAAAGAAUUUUCAGUUAAUAGAUGUGAAGAUAAUCUUAUCUAGUGCCAUGAUUUCUUCCAGAAAAGAUUAGAACUAUUUUACUGAUUGCAUUAUUUGUUAGGCAGUGGAUAAAGUUAAAAAAUGAACUUUCUUCAAGCUGAAGCACGCUUCCACCCAGUCCUCAGUACCAUGGUUUUGUUGGAUGAGGACAUCCUUUGUAGGCUGGAUUUGCCUAGGAAGAAAACCAGGCAAAAAAAAUCAUGAUACAAAAAGAUCAAUGAUUUAUUAGAACGGGUUGGUUGAGUUCUUGUGAGGUUUUUUGUCUUUUUUUUUUUUUUUCCAGUUCUCUGCCUCAAUCCCUAAAUAUGGCAGUUCAGUGCAAUUUAAAAAUCAGACAUAUUUUCAUCUUUUCUGUUAAACCCUCAGAUCCUGGUCUUGGAAAACACAGCCUUUGAGCUGCAAUGCUAGAGAAGAAUGACAAACCAUCUUCUCAAAUGAUUUUGGGUAUGAAACCUCUGGUACUUCAUUAAUGUUUUUUACCUGAGGGUUCUAAAACCCAGUCUCUCAAGGUUCCUUCUGGAAAGCCUCUUUGAAGUUUUUAGCAUAAAAUGGACAAUUUGAAAGAAUCUUUAGGAAGGUCUUGACAGUUAACUUCUCAUACAUAUGUGACAUGUACUUUGAAGAAUAAAUUAACCUUUUGUCACUCUUGAAGAGGACAGUUUUUAAAAACAAAGGUUAGCUUAGUUAGUCAGUAAGCUUAAAACUGUCCUUUUAUCAUUAAAUUUAAGUGCUGAUAAAUACAAAUAGAGAGAAAAACACAUUCUCCCUUUGGCAAACACUUAACAAACAUGUAGACUGGGAGAGAAAUCUAUAGUGCUAGAAUAUGUUUACCAGUAAAACCAACUAUUUUGCCUCUAGACACCUUUUGUUCUGUCUACUCAGAAAAAAAUUUAACCAGAAAACCAAACUCCUUUUUUUUCCUCAAGUUGUUUAUUUUUUUUCCUUCCUAUACUGAAAUUCUUCAGAUAGUUUGAAAAUGUUUCUUAGUCAAAUAUUCACCUGAGCUUUUUUUCCUGUGUGUUUAUUGAGAAAUGCCUGGAGCUGAGCUGCACAGCUCUACUUUUUAGGAGA